UGGCCUAACAGUAUAUAUGUUUUGAUUAAUGUUCAUUACUACUAUGUAAGGUUCAAUUCCUAAAUUUAAAUUUUGUUGGAAGUCUGAGUGGCUGUAUUGGCUACCACAUAUCUAACCUAGUAUUGAUAAUAAAAUUCUGGACACUAGAAUUUUCUCUGAAGGUAACAACAGAUGACUGUGUCUUUAUUUGAUAUUUCAGCAACUAUGAAACUGAAUAUUUGUCCUGGGCAGAAGGACAAGCAAAUGAUGAGAAAAAAGUUAGUACAUGUGGGCGGAUAGAAGAUGUAAUUGGCUGGGCCCCAUAUUGUGGAUUGGUUCCAAUUGAGGCGUUGAAACUGGUUUGCACUGAUAUUAUAUUUCCUAGCUAGAACACCACAAGUCUAUUAUAGGAUUUUGGUAAUAUAAAGGAUUUUACAGAGCAACAAACUGUCUAGUCCGUCGAGAAAAUUUUAAAUGACAGGAUGUGAAUGAAGAUGGAAGUGCUAGGAAUUAAAGAAAACCGAUUUAACAGAAGGAAGAGAAUGACAACAUUGCAUUUGAGAUUCUAAUAUAGGAACAGAAACCAGCAGGCAGCAACAAAGAAAGAAUAUAUUUUGCUAAGUUGUGAGACAUGGAAGCAUGUGCAUCUUUCGAACAUCCGGGUUUUCUAGUUACAACCCCAAAACUAGUCUUCAAAUUUGAAUGACUUACCUGGGCCAAUGUCUAUGGGCCCUCCCCGGUACGAACCCCGUUUUUUUUUAUUUUUCUCUUUUGUGAACCCCUUUCCACGAGUUACUGAGAGGUCCUUGUAUGCACGUUCCGCAUACGCGUAUGGAAUAUAGGCAUUAGAAGGGUGGUCGUGUGGCAGCUGCCCGGCUAGCGCUAAAGGUGUUGGUUGAGUCCCUGAAUGUUUAAUAGGUGGAGUAGAUGCGGCUGGGUUUGAGCCCCGGGCUGAAACGACGUUGGACGUUGAAGUAAUGGAGGCGGCUUUCUUGAGGAUGGCGGAGGAGGUCGCGGAUUUGUUUGAUUGGUUGCUUGUCUGUUCCUUUCUCUUCUUCUUGCUCACAGACGAGUCAGAUGAUGAUGAAUUGGAAGAUGAGUCGGAAGAAGAGUUGCUAGAUGAGGAGCUAUUUUUAAGUGUUGCACUUGAAUCUGCUGAAUGUCUGCAGCUCGGACUGUUAUCUGUAAUGGAUGAGCUUGCGGAAAAUGGCGAGGAUGAGGAGGGCGAAGAGUCACUAAAACCUUUAUUGUCAGACCCGGGAAGCGGAAUCUGGGCAGCAACUGUAGCUGCUUCUGCCGAUUUGGUAACUGGUUUCAGCUUCGACUUGACAGAUGCGGAUGUCGACGAAGAAGAAUUAGAGUCAGAGGAGGAAUCGCAAUCGAAAUCAGAACUAGAACCAGAACCUGUAUCAGAGCCUGAAAAUGAUUCAGAUGACGAUUCUGAAGUAGAAGAUGACUUGGCCAAUGAGUUCAGCGUUGGUUUGUCGGUCGUCAGCUUUGUUCGCUUUACCUCGGGAUGGGCCUCGUCCGAGUCAGAAUCACAAGACGAACUCGAGCUAUCGUCAUGUUUGCGUUUUAGAUUGCUAGGUUGAGUAAUUGGUGCCUUCUUGACGUCCUCAUCGCUACUUUCACUUUCAGAAGAUGAGCACGGGGAAGAAGAUAAAGAUAAAACUGAACAGGGCGCACGCGCACUCUCCAUAACAACAUCAGAGUCGCUAGAUUCAGAAAAGUUGG
rnacentral:sRNA from 2 species